UACGUAGGGUGCGAGCGUUGUCCGGAUUUAUUGGGCGUAAAGAGCUCGUAGGCGGCUCAGUAAGUCAGGUGUGAAAACUCCAGGCUCAACCUGGAGACGCCACCUGAUACUGCUGUGGCUAGAGUCCGGUAGGGGAGCAUGGAAUUCCUGGUGUAGCGGUGAAAUGCGCAGAUAUCAGGAGGAACACCAGUGGCGAAGGCGGUGCUCUGGGCCGGAACUGACGCUGAGGAGCGAAAGCGUGGGGAGCAAACAGG
rnacentral:rRNA from 1 species